rnacentral:rRNA from 1 species
CCUACGGGAGGCAGCAGUGAGGAAUAUUGGUCAAUGGACGAGAGUCUGAACCAGCCAAGUAGCGUGAAGGAUGACUGCCCUAUGGGUUGUAAACUUCUUUUAUAUAGGAAUAAAAUGUUCCACGUGUGGGAUUUUGUAUGUACCAUAUGAAUAAGGAUCGGCUAACUCCGUGCCAGCAGCCGCGGUAAUACGGAGGAUCCGAGCGUUAUCCGGAUUUAUUGGGUUUAAAGGGAGCGUAGGUGGGUUGUUAAGUCAGUUGUGAAAGUUUGCGGCUCAACCGUAAAAUUGCAGUUGAAACUGGCAGUCUUGAGUACAGUAGAGGUGGGCGGAAUUCGUGGUGUAGCGGUGAAAUGCUUAGAUAUCACGAAGAACUCCGAUUGCGAAGGCAGUUCACUGGACUGCAACUGACACUGAGGCUCGAAAGUGUGGGUAUCAAACAGGAUUAGAUACCCUUGUAGUC